UUGCUUUCACUCUUCACCGUUUAUCAUUUUCUUCGGCAAUCAAUUUGUACAGCCGUUUCUACAUUCCGAAAUCUGGAUGUUCACUCUUCCUCAUCACCGUUUCACUCUUCACUCAUUCCAGUCGUUUCACAUCAGGCCGUUUUCAAAAGCCUCUUCUCACAAUUCUAUGGAUUCUGCAGCACAAUUUUCGAUUCGUUCCAGCCGCUCCGUUGUUGCCCCUGACGCCUACAAAAUCGUUUUUCUUCUUCUUUUCAUCUUAACGCUGACCAUUGGAGUUUGCACAUACAGAGUCAAUUUCGUUCUUAUUACGGAAACCCUAUAGAUUGUGGUUUUCGAUCUUCCUUUCUUCUGAGCACUGUAAGGGAUGCAAAAGCUGAAUUGAUGUGGAGCACAUGGAAGCUUCCAUGCAUGCAAAUUUGAAACCUGUUUCAGUUCUGUUCUCUGGGUCUAAGGUGAGUGGAAAACGAAGCAAGGGGAGCGAAGAUCGUAGAGCACGAUCGUUCUCUCCAACUGCGGUUGUCAUCUUCGUGAUUCGCAUUUUUCGUCUUCCACUCCGCAGUUGAUUUUGAGUAGGAAGCAAGUGUUUCGUCUUUAUGGAAGCAAACGGUAUGGAAGCAAACGGGGUGGUGCACAAGCAUGAAGAGCAGUUUCAAAAGGAUCAUUGAUGAAGCAAACGGGUCAUCUCAAGGAAAAGGGGCGCAGAUUCCCAGCAUCAGACCUUACAGUGAAGCUGAUGAGAUGGAGCGUAGUGCUGUAAGAGGAGGUAGAGGCAUUGCUGAAUGAGAAGAUGAAAAAGGGAAAUCCUUAUGAUAAUAAGAAAAAGACCGAGCAGAUGACAGAUCUUAUAAAUCAGCUUAUUUAAUUUUCUUAAAUAGUCAUCCAUCCUUUGUCCUAUCAGUAUUUUAUUAAUUUUCAUAGUCACAUUCUGAAACAGGUAAGAAUAUAUAAUUUUCUUCAUUAUCUUCCAUUCAGUGCUCUUUGUUUUUUAACAAAUUGAAACUUAUCACAAUGAUACCUCCUGUUGUGCAGAAAUGGAUGUCAAGUUGAGGCAAAUGUUUAAGCUUAUUGAUUUGGAGAUAGUAAAAUGGUGUAGCAUUUGUUACUCUUUAUUUUCCUUUUGCUUGCAAUUCCAUUGCCUCCUUUAAUCCAGGAUUCAAUUGUUCGGUGUCAACAAGAUAUAGUUUGAGCAGUGCAGAGAAUAAUGUGGUAUUUGCACAGGCGAAUGUCAGUACUUCCGAUGAACAAAACUUUUAGUUGUUAAGCAGGAAUGCAUGAUGUUUCCAUUUGUUAUCCCCUUAUUGCUUAACAUCUUAACAACAAGAUAUAGUUAUUUAUACUUCACCAAUCUCUAUUAUAGAUAAAGUAAAUUUAGUGUUCUUGAUAUAUAAUCUAUGUGCGUGUUCAUAUUAGUGUUCAUAUUUGUGAUAAUAAUACACAUUUGAGGCUUGAUUUAAAAAAAGUUCUAGCAUGUUACUUUAGCAGAAUUUCUAAUCUUGCCUUUUCUUACUUUAGCAGAAUUUCUGGACUGGCAGCCCCCUAUUUGUAUUCUAUGAUGGAGUCAACGAGGAAAAUGACAUGCUAGAUUAAUUUUUCUCUAGAUAACUAGGUUGGGAACUGGGGAUUCUGUAGCUGGAGAAGACCAAUCUCUUUCACUGUUGUGGGGAAAGCUUUUUUCAAGCCUUGGUCCUUUGAUCUUGAUAUAAUUCAGGGAUAAGCAUUAAGUCCCUUGCAAUGAUAGAAAUACUUAUCUGCUUUCAUCCAAUAGUAGAAGGGUAACAGUAAACUUUUUUUUUUGUCAAAAUUAAUGUGACAUUGCUUUGACCAAACUAAGAUUUUACAUGUACAAUUGCAAAAUGCAUUUGAAGUAGCUAAUGUAGAUGUGAUGAUGAAUACUACCACUAAAAUAAGAAUUGGUUUAAAGUCAUUGUUGAGUUCCUAUUAGAGGAAAGGGAAAUAUGAUUCUCUCAUUUGAUUGGAAGA